AAUCAACGCUGGCGGCGUGCCUCAGACAUGCAAGUCGAGCGCGAAAGUCCCCUUCGGGGGACAAGUAGAGUGGCGCACGGGUGAGUAACACGUAGGUAAUCUACCUUCGGAUGGGGAAUAACAACCGGAAACGGUUGCUAAUACCGCAUAAUGCAGCGGCACCUAAUGGUGACAGUUGUUAAAGCGGGGGAUUGAAAGACCUCGCGUCUGAAGAGGAGCCUGCGGCGGAUUAGCNGUUGGUAGGGUAACGGCCUACCAAGGCGACGAUCCGUAGCCGGCCUGAGAGGGCGGUCGGCCACACUGACACUGACAUACGGGUCAGACUCCUACGGGAGGCAGCAGUCGGGAAUUUUGGGCAAUGGGCGAAAGCCUGACCCAGCAACGCCGCGUGAAGGAUGAAAUCCCUCGGGAUGUAAACUUCGCAAGAACGGGAAGAAUAAGUAGGGGAC
rnacentral:rRNA from 1 species